CGUAUUAAUGACCGCAGUCAAAACAUGGCUUUCAAACGCCGUAUCAAUCUCAUGCCAUCAGCUUACGCUGUAUCCAGCAUCCGCGGUUGCAACGAAUCGUUGGCACCGAAUCUUUCAAACUUUCGAAUCGUACUAUCCGUGCGACCAAUGAUUGUCUAAUAUUAAUCGAUAAUCGCGGGCGUUUAAUUCGACUCUUCUAGCGACUCGAUAUACUUGUCGCAUCGUUGCUUCCACGCGACAUACUCUUCUCUCGAAUUCAAUCGGAUAAAUUGUUCCAAAAAAUAUGUUUGUUCCAUAUUAAUUCUUCUUUGAUGUACAACUCUCAACUUAUAAUUCGGCUAAUGACAGAACGUGUCACAGUCUUUUCAUUAUAUCUUACCAAUGAUGAUUGUAUCUUCUUUAGAAUAUUUUCGUAUGUGAUAUCUAAUUCCAGAGUGUAUCAAAUGAUGUAUAAAGUAGAUUUUAUUCUUGACUUAUGUGAAAAUGCAAUAAUUACGUUUUUAACACGAUGAUCUCAGGACACGUUGUGGCGUGUCCAUUGUUCUUAAAAUAAUAUCAUAUUUCAUAUUAUUAACCUAUGUGAAAUGUUUGUAAUUUUAACACGUGUCCGAUCUCAUCGCGAAAAACAUCAAUUGUUCUUAAAAAUAUAUAUUUUGUACCGUUGAUCUAUGGAUUUGCAAAUUUGUAAUUUUAAUACGUGAGGUGAUCUCAUUAUGACAUAAUAAAGAUAUUUACGCGUACGUGAAAUUCAUCACAGCAACCAUAUAUUGGUGCUAAUAUUGUUGCAAAUGUUGUAGUAUCUACAAUUGUACCAUAUAUCAAAUGAUGUACGAAAACGUGCCCAAAGUAGAUUUAUUCUGUAUAAUCUCAUCGCAGCUGCCGUUUAUUGGUGCUUAUACAAAAAUGCAAAAUUGCAAUUUUAAUGAGAGUUAUAUUUCACAUCUCGCGUCGCUACUUACGCAGUAGAUCGUCGAAAAAAGAAUAGAGGAAUAUAUAAAUUAAAAAGAGCUUCAACAAUCAUUAUUGCAUUAAUCGCUCUGUGAAAGAGUCUAUACCUUUGUAAAAAGAAACAGCUCUUGAAAAUGAAAGGGAAGCUCUGUGAAUUAUUACAUGCUUUAUUCAACAGAAUAAGGCAUACAAAAAACAUAUAUCUUCUCAUAAUUCAUCAUCAUCUUCGGAACCCUGUACAUCUCGUAUCUUGGGAAGAAGAUUUGUCUUAACAUCCACAGCUUGUAAAUAUUUGAAUAUUGGAAUCAACGUGGGAUCUGUAUCCUAUAUGGAAUUAUGUAUUGGUAAUAAUCGAGGCAAUCAUAUUGCUUUAUGUAAUGUGGAAAACCCUCAUUGAGAAACGUGUGGAUAUCGAGCAGCUUGUGCAAUCAUUUGCUCCUUCAUCGUGUCAAUUCAUGAUCUAGUUAUAGAAUUCAAAUGCGAAAUACAAAUAUUGUAAAGUUGACAUUGCGCGAUACAUGCUUGUACAUGAAGCCGUCAACCGUAUUCUUUCUAUUCGAAUUUGAACAUUGCGUCGAACAUGUAUAUUACUGGCUCUAUCAGAAUAUAUAUGGUGUCAGCGAAAAAUUUAAACAAUUUAUAAACUUUUUACGGCAGAAUUAUAUCACAGAUAAACAUACUGCAAUAAAAACUUUGCGAGAGAGUGCCAUUUUUGAUUGAAAAACUUCGAUUGUGAAUUAUUAUAUAACCUACACUAUAGAUAAUAUUGUACACUAUGCAUUACAUCAUCAAUAAAUAUAUAUUACGAUAAAUA